rnacentral:rRNA from 1 species
UACGAAGGGGGCUAGCGUUGUUCGGAUUUACUGGGCGUAAAGCGCACGUAGGCGGCUUUGUAAGUUAGAGGUGAAAGCCCGGGGCUCAACCCCGGAACUGCCUUUAAGACUGCAUCGCUUGAACAUCGGAGAGGUGAGUGGAAUUCCGAGUGUAGAGGUGAAAUUCGUAGAUAUUCGGAAGAACACCAGUGGCGAAGGCGGCUCACUGGACGAUUGUUGACGCUGAGGUGCGAAAGCGUGGGGAGCAAACAGG